GUUAGUGUGGGAUUUCAUUUCAUCUUGAAGGUGAAAAGCAAUACGAUUGUUAGAUGAUCAUCAUGGAUUUGGUUGUCGCGAAGGAGGUUGUCCUGGAAGUG